rnacentral:rRNA from 1 species
UACGUAUGGAGCAAGCGUUAUCCGGAAUUACUGGGUGUAAAGGGAGCGUAGACGGAUGUGCAAGUCUGAUGUGAAAGGCGGGGGCUCAACCCCUGGACUGCAUUGGAAACUGUAAAUCUUGAGUGCUGGAGAGGCAAUCGGAAUUCCGUGUGUAGCGGUGAAAUGCGUAGAUAUACGGAGGAACACCAGUGGCGAAGGCGGAUUGCUGGACAGUAACUGACGCUGAGGCGCGAAAGCGUGGGGAGCAAACAGG